UACGUAGGUGGCAAGCGUUGUCCGGAUUUAUUGGGUUUAAAGGGUGCGUAGGCGGCUUAUUAAGUCAGUGGUGAAAUAUCGCAGCUCAACUGUGAGGGUGCCAUUGAUACUGAUGAGCUUGAGUGGAGUCGAGGUAGGCGGAAUUGACGGUGUAGCGGUGAAAUGCUUAGAUAUCGUCAAGAACACCGAUAGUGAAGACAGCUUACUAGACUUCAACUGACGCUGAGGCACGAAAGUGUGGGGAUCAAACAGG
rnacentral:rRNA from 1 species